AGUUACAGGACUAUUCUUUAAAAUACAAUUUCAGGGGACUGAGUAAAACGUUUUGGCCGAAUGAUUAAAAGAACUGUUUAGGAGAAAAAUGCAGAUUUGAAAUGAUUUGAUAGCAUACUGAUUUGCAAGAGUUGUAUUGAAAACAUCGCGUUAGAACAUCACGGGCCAAUUAACGGAUUGUUUUAAAUGAAUCAGACAAGUUGAGACGGAAUCCUAUAGGCAUGAUAUUGAAUUUUUAGAGCCUGUUAGAGAGUUGGUAAAUAGACGAAUGUUCAGUUACCCUAUGAUUUGCCGAACGCAUGUACAUUUCCUA
rnacentral:lncRNA from 1 species